UACGGGGGGAGCAAGCGUUGUUCGGAUUUACUGGGCGUAAAGGGCGCGUAGGCGGUCAGCACAAGUCAGUUGUGAAAUCUCCGAGCUUAACUCGGAAAGGUCAACUGAUACUGUGCGACUAGAGUGCGGAAGGGGCAACUGGAAUUCUUGGUGUAGCGGUGAAAUGCGUAGAUAUCGAGAGGAACACCUGCGGCGAAGGCGGGUUGCUGGGCUGAUACUGACGCUGAGGCGCGAAAGCUAGGGGAGCAAACAGG
rnacentral:rRNA from 1 species